rnacentral:pre_miRNA from 1 species
GAAAUACUCCCUCCGUUCCAAAUUACUCGUCGCAGAAAUGGAUGUAUCUAGAACUAAAAUACAUCUAGAUACAUCCAUAUCUGCGACAAGUAAUUCGGAACGGAGGGAGUACCAG